rnacentral:rRNA from 1 species
GAUGAACGCUGGCGGCGUGCCUAAUACAUGCAAGUCGAGCGAACAGACGAGGAGCUUGCUCCUCUGACGUUAGCGGCGGACGGGUGAGUAACACGUGGAUAACCUACCUAUAAGACUGGGAUAACUUCGGGAAACCGGAGCUAAUACCGGAUAAUAUAUUGAACCGCAUGGUUCAAUAGUGAAAGACGGUUUUGCUGUCACUUAUAGAUGGAUCCGCGCCGCAUUAGCUAGUUGGUAAGGUAACGGCUUACCAAGGCAACGAUGCGUAGCCGACCUGAGAGGGUGAUCGGCCACACUGGAGCUGAGACACGGUCCAGACUCCUACGGGAGGCAGCAGUAGGGAAUCUUCCGCAAUGGGCGAAAGCCUGACGGAGCGACGCCGCGUGAGUGAUGAAGGUCUUCGGAUCGUAAAACUCUGUUAUUAGGGAAGAACAAAUGUGUAAGUAACUAUGCACGUAUUGACGGUACCUAAUCAGAAAGCCACGGCUAACUACGUG